rnacentral:rRNA from 1 species
UAUCUCACAAGUGUCUGCCUUAUCAACUUUCGAUGGUAGUUUAUGUGCCUACCAUGGUUGUAACGGGUAACGGAGAAUAAGGGUUCGACUCCGGAGAGGGAGCCUGAGAAACGGCUACCACAUCCAAGGAAGGCAGCAGGCGCGCAAAUUACCCACUCUCGGCAUGAGGAGGUAGUGACGAAAAAUAACGAGACCGUUCUCUUUGAGGCCGGUUAUCGGAAUGGGUACAAUUUAAACCUGUUAACGAGGAUCUAUGAGAGGGCAAGUCUGGUGCCAGCAGCCGCGGUAAUUCCAGCUCUCAAAGUGUAUAUCGUCAUUGCUGCGGUUAAAAAGCUCGUAGUUGGAUCUGCGUCUUAGGACUUGGUCCAUCCGAUUGGAUGUGAACUAAGAACCUAGACUAAUAUUUAGCUAGUUUUACUGUAUGUUACCUUAAUUGGUUGCAUAUAGUGGCUGGCAUGUUUACCUUGAAAAAAUUAGAGUGCUUAACGCGGGCUUAUAAUGCUUGAAUACUCGUGCAUGGAAUAAUGAAAUAGGAUCUUGAUUGUUGUAUGCCUAUUUUGUUGGUUUAAAACAUAAAUACAAUUGAGAUAAUGGUUAAGAGGGACGGACGGGGGCAUUCGUAUCGCUGCGUGAGAGGUGAAAUUCUUGGACCGUAGCGAGACGCCCAACUGCGAAAGCAUUUGCCAAGAAUGUCUUCAUUAAUCAAGAACGAAAGUCAGAGGUUCGAAGGCGAUCAGAUACCGCCCUAGUUCUGACCGUAAACGAUACCAACUAGCGUUCCGUUGGCGGUAAAUACGCCUUGACGGGCAGCUUCCCGGAAACGAAAGUUUUUCGGUUCCGGGGGAAGUAUGGUUGCAAAGCUGAAACUUAAAGAAAUUGACGGAAGGGCACCACCAGGAGUGGAGCCUGCGGCUUAAUUUGACUCAACACGGGAAAACUCACCUGGCCCGGACACCGUGAGGAUUGACAGAUUGAAAGCUCUUUCAUGAUUCGGUGGUUGGUGGUGCAUGGCCGUUCUUAGUUGGUGGAGUGAUUUGUCUGGUUUAUUCCGAUAACGAGCGAGACUCUAGCCUACUAAAUAGUUUAUGCUGGAUAAAUGUAUUCGUACGCUAGUCCAGACAACUUCUUAGAGGGACAAGCGGUGUUUAGCCGCAUGAAGUUGAGCAAUAACAGGUCUGUGAUGCCCUUAGAUGUCCAGGGC